rnacentral:rRNA from 1 species
GUGACUGCGUACCUUUUGUAUAAUGGGUCAGCGACUUAUAUUCUGUAGCAAGGUUAACCGAAUAGGGGAGCCGGAGGGAAACCGAGUCUUAAUUGGGCGUUAAGUUGCAGGGUAUAGACCCGAAACCCGGUGAUCUAGCCAUGGGCAGGUUGAAGGUUGGGUAACACUAACUGGAGGACCGAACCGACUAAUGUUGAAAAAUUAGCGGAUGACCUGUGGCUGGGGGUGAAAGGCCAAUCAAACCGGGAGAUAGCUGGUUCUCCCCGAAAGCUAUUUAGGUAGCGCCUCGUGAAUUCAUCUCCGGGGGUAGAGCACUGUUUCGGCUAGGGGGCCAUCCCGGCUUACCAACCCGAUGCAAACUGCGAAUACCGGAGAAUGUUAUCACGGGAGACACACGGCGGGUGCUAACGUCCGUCGUGAAGAGGGAAACAACCCAGACCGCCAGCUAAGGUCCCAAAGUCAUGGUUAAGUGGGAAACGAUGUGGGAAGGCCCAGACAGCCAGGAUGUUGGCUUAGAAGCAGCCAUCAUUUAAAGAAAGCGUAAUAGCUCACUGGUCGAGUCGGCCUGCGCGGAAGAUGUAACGGGGCUAAACCAUGCACCGAAGCUGCGGCAGCGACACUGUGUGUUGUUGGGUAGGGGAGCGUUCUGUAAGCCUGUGAAGGUGUGUCGUGAGGCAUGCUGGAGGUAUCAGAAGUGCGAAUGCUGACAUAAGUAACGAUAAAGCGGGUGAAAAGCCCGCUCGCCGGAAGACCAAGGGUUCCUGUCCAACGUUAAUCGGGGCAGGGUGAGUCGACCCCUAAGGCGAGGCCGAAAGGCGUAGUCGAUGGGAAACGGGUUAAUAUUCCCGUACUUGGUGUUACUGCGAAGGGGGGACGGAGAAGGCUAUGUUGGCCGGGCGACGGUUGUCCCGGUUUAAGCGUGUAGGUGUGUGUUCCAGGUAAAUCCGGUUCACUUUAACACUGAGGCGUGACGACGAGGCACUACGGUGCUGAAGCAACAAAUGCCCUGCUUCCAGGAAAAGCCUCUAAGCAUCAGGUAACAUCAAAUCGUACCCCAAACCGACACAGGUGGUCAGGUAGAGAAUACCAAGGCGCUUGAGAGAACUCGGGUGAAGGAACUAGGCAAAAUGGUGCCGUAACUUCGGGAGAAGGCACGCUGACACGUAGGUGAAGUGAUUUACUCAUGGAGCUGAAGUCAGUCGAAGAUACCAGCUGGCUGCAACUGUUUAUUAAAAACACAGCACUGUGCAAACACGAAAGUGGACGUAUACGGUGUGACGCCUGCCCGGUGCCGGAAGGUUAAUUGAUGGGGUCAGCGCAAGCGAAGCUCCUGAUCGAAGCCCCGGUAAACGGCGGCCGUAACUAUAACGGUCCUAAGGUAGCGAAAUUCCUUGUCGGGUAAGUUCCGACCUGCACGAAUGGCGUAAUGAUGGCCAGGCUGUCUCCACCCGAGACUCAGUGAAAUUGAACUCGCUGUGAAGAUGCAGUGUACCCGCGGCAAGACGGAAAGACCCCGUGAACCUUUACUAUAGCUUGACACUGAACAUUGAGCCUUGAUGUGUAGGAUAGGUGGGAGGCUUUGAAGUGUGGACGCCAGUCUGCAUGGAGCCGACCUUGAAAUACCACCCUUUAAUGUUUGAUGUUCUAACGUGGACCCGUUACCCGGGUUGCGGACAGUGUCUGGUGGGUAGUUUGACUGGGGCGGUCUCCUCCUAAAGAGUAACGGAGGAGCACGAAGGUUGGCUAAUCCUGGUCGGACAUCAGGAGGUUAGUGCAAUGGCAUAAGCCAGCUUGACUGCGAGCGUGACGGCGCGAGCAGGUGCGAAAGCAGGUCAUAGUGAUCCGGUGGUUCUGAAUGGAAGGGCCAUCGCUCAACGGAUAAAAGGUACUCCGGGGAUAACAGGCUGAUACCGCCCAAGAGUUCAUAUCGACGGCGGUGUUUGGCACCUCGAUGUCGGCUCAUCACAUCCUGGGGCUGAAGUAGGUCCCAAGGGUAUGGCUGUUCGCCAUUUAAAGUGGUACGCGAGCUGGGUUUAGAACGUCGUGAGACAGUUCGGUCCCUAUCUGCCGUGGGCGCUGGAGAACUGAGGGGGGCUGCUCCUAGUACGAGAGGACCGGAGUGGACGCAUCACUGGUGUUCGGGUUGUCAUGCCAAUGGCACUGCCCGGUAGCUAAAUGCGGAAGAGAUAAGUGCUGAAAGCAUCUAAGCACGAAACUUGCCCCGAGAUGAGUUCUCCCUGAGACUUAGGUCUCCUGAAGGAACGUUGAAGACGACGACGUUGAUAGGCCGGGUGUGUAAGCGCAGCGAUGCGUUGAGCUAACCGGUACUAAUGAACCGUGAGGCUUAACCUU